AGGAUCAGGAUGCUCUGACCACUUCUGGAAAUGCUUCAUUGAAUGUGCUUCUGGAAUCAAUAACCCAUCUUGUGGGGACCAGUGAAACCCUCUCCAAGUAUGACACAAGUGCAGGACAUCAUUCGACAAUUGAUCAUUCGAUGAUCACAAUCAUCAUUCAACAAUUCUGCUCAUCAGACCUGCCUCUCCUCUUAAAACUAAGCUCCUUCCAUGAGGAUCCUGAACUGAUGGACAAGACCUCACAUGGACUCAUCUCUGCCAACAAUACGUUUAAAUAGCCAUCUCCCGCCCAGUACAGGACUCUUAAAGGAAGUUCACCAUAUUUCAUCUGUGCUAAGUAUCUCACCCAGUACAAUUAUCAGGGGAUCUCAGAUGUAGAAUCUUUUUUAGAUCUGCCUUUUUCCCCUUAUAGAUGGAGGUAUUAUAGAAUAGUGAUUAAGAGGAUGGACUUAAGAGCCCAGAUACCUGCGCUCGCAUUUCAACUCAGCCUUGAGCAAGUUUCUUUAACCUCUCUAAGUACCAAUUUCUAUAUUUGUGGAAUGGGGGGAUGAUAAUAUCUACCUCAUAAUGUUAUGGGACUAUCAAAAUUGCCCAUAAGCUGGAUCAUAAAGCAAGCCUCAACUGAUUUUGAAGUAUUGAAAUUCUUUAAAGUAUGACCUCUGCAAGUAAGAUAGAAGUUAAUGAUAAAGUACUAGAAAGUUCCCAGAGGCUCAGAAGUUAAUAAUCUGUGGCUCUAAUAACGUAUUCAAGUUUUGUCUACUUGAUUUUCCUACAUGCAUUUGUAUACCUCAAAGCUGCCAAGCAGAGAAGCUGACUCAGUCUAACCUCUCUGAUGCCUCCCUGAGCCAUCCCACACAGAAAACUGGGUGAUACAGGACACUCACAAUCUUGGGCUUGGUCUUCCUUUCUCACAUGGGAGCAUAUAUUCACGCCACACAGGAGAGUGUCACCCCCCCUCUCAGUAUACACAUUUAUAUACACAAUUAGGUGAAUUUCCUAUAAUUUUCCAGAUUCCAAAAGAGAAGAUUUGUAAGCAAAGCAUAGUUUAGCCAGUUCAUGGUUUUCUCUUCAGUAGCUAUAGGAAUCACAAGAGGGCAAAACUGAAGAUUAAAGACACUCUUUCUCCCA